UUUUGAUCUUUCCUGUGCUUUAACCGUGGGGACAAAUUUUUUACAGUAGUUGGUGUAGGUUGAAAG